rnacentral:rRNA from 1 species
UACGGAGGGGGCUAGCGUUGUUCGGAAUUACUGGGCGUAAAGCGCACGUAGGCGGCCGUUUAAGUUAGAGGUGAAAGCCCGGGGCUCAACCCCGGAAUUGCCUUUGAUACUGGACGGCUUGAAUCCGGGAGAGGUGAGUGGAAUUCCGAGUGUAGAGGUGAAAUUCGUAGAUAUUCGGAAGAACACCAGUGGCGAAGGCGGCUCACUGGACCGGCAUUGACGCUGAGGUGCGAAAGCGUGGGGAGCAAACAGG